AUUCAAUUGACGAGUCCAAAAUAGGACGAAAUACAUGUCCUGGAU
rfam:Schistosoma curassoni strain Dakar, Senegal genome assembly, scaffold: SCTD_contig0010487